CGACCAUAAACGUUUGCUGCCUUCAGGAAUCAGUUGGCAAGUUUUACCUGCUGGCUUUUCUGGAAACAGGAGAGAGAUAACAAAAAUGGCGACAGCACCGGAGACUUCAGCAGGAGGAUGCUAACGUGGCUGAAGAUUAUGUGACGCUAAACAUGGAGUUUAGAGUAAUGCGGAGGAUAAAGAGGAGGACAAGCUGGAUUUAAAAGAGAGAGGAGCUGCACAGAGAGCUGAGAAUAAACAGAGAUAUGAGGAGGAGAGCAGGGCUGGAUUAACUGGAAGAGGAGGUACUCACACACUUCCUCUUGGUCUAAUCAGCCUUAGACAUUCUAAGAAAGGAGGCUCAACCAAUCAGGAAGCAGUAAACAAUGACAGAGAAAAGCCCUCACUCUCUGCUUGAAGAUGUUCCUGCUGAGUUACGGACCCUCUGAUUAAUUUCCUAUAGCAUUUUACAAAGGAGACAUGAAGAAGAAAGAGCCAAAAAACAGGUAUGUGCGCAGUAAUACUAAAUCCUGGUUAACUGUCUGAACGACAUGCCAGUUGUCCUCCAUUUCUGUCUUAAAUCCAGUCCACAAGCUGAAAAGAAAUACUUGUCUGACAUUUCAAAUCAGCCUGAAGUUGCUGUUGAAGCAAGGUCCUGUCAUUAACUGCCCUCAGGACAUUUAUAUAACACACCGUUGAUGUUCUUCACUGUGAUUAUGGAAGCAAGAUUUGAUCUUUGAUUGCUAUUGACGGUGAAGGCCAUCAACAGGAAAUGGGCACUGCGAGUGCUUCAAUCAACUGCAGUAUUUCCAAGAUUUGUUUCUUUAAAAGCCUCUUUUAG